CUUUUUGUGCAUAAUGUAUAUAUAGGGGGGUGGUAGUACUCUUGGGGUAGACAGGCAUGUGCUGGGAUGGCAUGCCAAGGCAUGUUCUGGGAUGGCAUGCCAAGGACAAGCAUGUGCUGGCAAGGCAAGCACAUGCAUCGCGAGGGAGAUGAGACCGUUACGAUUACCCCAAGAGUGCCCAAGGAAAAGGAAAGAGGUGUCAAACGCAUGCUGAGCCCCACUUCGGUAGUUUGGCACCCCCAAGCAUGUGCUGGUAAGGCAUGCCAAGGCAAGCACAUGCAUCGCGAGGGAGAUGAGACGGUUACGAUUGCCCCAAGAGUGCCCAAGGGAGAGGAAAGAGGUGUCAAUCGCAUGCUGCUUGCCAUGCAUCGCGAGGGAGUGAGACGGUUACGAUUGCCCCAAGAGUGCCCAAGGGAGCGGAAAGAGGUGUCAAACGCAUACUGAGCCCCACUUCGGUGCUGGCAAGGCAUGCCAAGGCAAGCACUUGCAUCGCAAGGGAAAUGAGACGGUUACGAUUGCCCCAGGAGUGGCCAAGGGAGAGGAAAGAGGUGUCAAACGUGCAUUGCGAGGGAAAUGAAGAGGAUACGAUUGCCUCAAGAGUGCCCAAGGGAGAGGAAAGAAGGUGUCAAACGCAUGCUGAGCCCCCUCUUUGGUAAUUUGGCCCCCCCCAUAGGCAUUUAGGCAAGCGUGCCUAUGGGAAAAGUCGGUUGAGCUUGUCAGCCAUGUUGGGUAUUAGCUGGACGAGAUGAUUGCACAAGGAUUCUUGCUUUAAGGUAACGUUCCGGCAGCACAGCCAGCCCGCAAUUGCUAGUUCAAGCGGGUGGAAUCUGCCUAUAGGGGCGUUGCUUGCUUGUUGUGGAGUUGGGACACGCCCAAUAUCUCUCAUUGCCCGUUUUUCCUGCGUGGCCCCAUAGCCAUUCAGGCAAGCGUGCCUAUGGGUAAAGUUGCUCGAGCUUGCCAACCCCCAUGUUAAGCUGUAGUCUGGACCGCUGAUGGCACAAGGAUGCAUGUUUUAAGGCAACAUUCCAGCAGCACAGCCAGCCCGUAAUUGCUAGUUCAAGCGGGUGGAAUCUGCUUAUAGGGGUGUUCCUUGCUUGCUGUGGAUUUGGGACACGCCCAAUAUCUAUCAUCGAUCCAACGAAGUUCUCAAUGUGGGUUGCUGAGGGCUAUUUUAGCAUGACGGUUCACUUGUUUGCUUGGCUUUGAAAAAUGUUUAGAUGUCAUGAUGCUUGGGAUCCAAUAAAUUUAUGUGGGAAGCUAAGAGCUGGAACCCAAUGUCAUUCACCAGACGGCUUAGCUUCGUCAGUGUGUAUAAUAUGUCAUUGAACCCCAAUCCUCGAUGCCAACCUGAUUAUGACUUUUGGAUCGCAAUUACCAUGGUUAUCGAAAACUGAGUAGGAGUCAUUAAAUAGGUGAACAAUUUGUAGUCUUUAAUAGCUGUCGGCUUUCGCAUCGCCCGGUGUGUUUUGGGAAUCGCUUUAUGCAAUUGGUUGCCUGCCGUGCCUCUUGGCAUACACGGUGGGUGCCACUUGCUGGUGGUUUUCGGAAACAUCCACCGUAAAGGUGCAUGAGUGGUAUUUGGUUUGUUACGGGUGGUUGGCUCUUUGCUUGCGCAACAACUGCCACCCGACUUACCUCUUCAGAUGUUUGCCUAGGCUUGUAUAGCCUAAGCAAAUUGUGGGUUUCCUGUGUUGCCUACCUAUGUUAUGGAAUUGUCUCGAUCGAUCAAAGCUGCUUUCGUCUUGUGUCAUUUCGAUGGCAUAAGAUGAACCAUGAAGCUAUCCCUUUGCACCACAUCAUUAAUGCAUGUGUUGAUGUUGUGGCCCAUUGAGCAUUGCUUGGUACCAUGGAUACGGAACCUUAUGUGGGCAUGGGUCCUUGGGGAUCCUUGUUCUGCCCUCGGUUAGCGUUCGCGCUUCUCUUAGAAUGACUGCCCAGCUGGAAUGGGAAGCCAUUUUGGAUGGGCAUCGUCAAAGAGGAAUGC
rnacentral:misc_RNA from 1 species